GAUGAAGAACGUAGCGAAAUGCGAUAAGUAAUGUGAAUUGCAGAAUUCAGUGAAUCAUCGAAUCUUUGAACGCACCUUGCGCCCUUUGGCUAUUCCAGAGGGCAUGCCUGUUUGAGUAUCAUGAACACCUCAACUCUCAUGGUUCUGCCAUGAUGAGCUUGGACUUUGGAGGUCUUGCUGGCCCCUGUGGUCAGCUCCUCUCAAAUGGAUCAGCUUGCCAGUGUUUGGUGGCAUCACAGGUGUGAUAACUAUCUACGCUUGUGGUUUUCCACCAGGUAACCUUCAGUGAUGGAGGUUCGCUGGAGCUCAUAAACGUCUCUCCUCAGCGAGGACAGCUUCUUGAACGUUUGAUCUUAAAUCAGGUAGGGCUACCCGCUGAACUUAAGCAUAUCAAUAAGCGGAGGA
rnacentral:misc_RNA from 1 species